GGGUGUCUAAAAUUCUUUAAUAAUUGGUGGUAGUUUAUAUAUAAAUAACAUACAAAAAAUACAGUAUGUAAGUACGCAGCAACUCCCUGAUGCCAUGCACGUGCUGAAAGACUGCAUAGCUCUCUACACGGAAGAACCCUCGUUACAACUAUUAUGGAAUACAUGUAUACUAUUUAGGGUUCGAAAAAUUGACAUGUUGCAAAGCCAUUCAACA
rnacentral:lncRNA from 1 species